rnacentral:rRNA from 1 species
CCUACGGGGGGCAGCAGUGGGGAAUAUUGGACAAUGGGCGCAAGCCUGAUCCAGCAAUACCGCGUGUGUGAAGAAGGCCUGAGGGUUGUAAAGCACUUUCACUAGGGAGGAAAACCUGCCGGCCAAUACCCGGCAGCUUGACAUUACCUAUAGAAGAAGCACCGGCUAACUCCGUGCCAGCAGCCGCGGUAAUACGGAGGGUGCAUGCGUUACGCGGAAUUUCUGGAGGUAAAGCGUGCGUUCACAGUUGAAAGCCCCGGGCUUAACCUGGGAACUGCAUUUGAUACUGGGCAACUAGAGUUUAAUAGAGGAGAGUGGAAUUUCAGGUGUAGCGGUGAAAUGCGUAGAGAUCUGAAGGAACACCAGUGGCGAAGGCGACUCUCUGGAUUAAAACUGACGCUGAGGUACGAAAGCGUGGGUAGCAAACAGGAUUAGAUACCCCAGUAGUC